GGUGUGUGAUUGCAUUUUUGCUUUUUGACAAGUACAAUUUCCAAAAUAAUUUCUUGGAUAGUCUUUAGAUAUAUCCUUUCAGAGCUUGACAGGAUUAAGCUGUCAAUUUACAAAGAAUUGCACCAAGAAAUGGAAUGGUAUCUGAAAAAAAUAUGUAAGCAUAUCAAAGUAAUCAUUCUUGGUAAACCUUGAGGAGAAUGUAAAUCUCUGAUUUUUUUUUUUUUUAAAUCAAGUCAAUCAUGAAUAGUUGAGAUUUUUGUGAUUAAAAAAAAAAGCUAAUAGAAAAAAAAACUUGUAAAAUGUUUGCAGUUCUGCUAAGCCUGGCUUAUGCCCAGCACACAUUUUUUGAAA
rnacentral:lncRNA from 1 species